rnacentral:rRNA from 1 species
GUGCCAGCCGCCGCGGUAAUACGGAGGGUGCGAGCGUUAAUCGGAAUAACUGGGCGUAAAGGGCACGCAGGCGGUUAUUUAAGUGAGGUGUGAAAGCCCCGGGCUUAACCUGGGAAUUGCAUUUCAGACUGGGUAACUAGAGUACUUUAGGGAGGGGUAGAAUUCCACGUGUAGCGGUGAAAUGCGUAGAGAUGUGGAGGAAUACCGAAGGCGAAGGCAGCCCCUUGGGAAUGUACUGACGCUCAUGUGCGAAAGCGUGGGGAGCAAACAGGAUUAGAUACCCUGGUAGUCCACGCUGUAAACGCUGUCGAUUUGGGGAUUGAGCUUUAAGCUUGGUGCCCGUAGCUAACGUGAUAAAUCGACCGCCUGGGGAGUACGGCCGCAAGGUUAAAACUCAAAGGAAUUGGCGG